GUAGCGUGAAGGAUGACUGCCUAUGGGUUGUAAACUUCUUUUAUAAAGGAAUAAGUCGGGUAUGGAUACCCGUUUGCAUGUACUUUAUGAAUAAGGAUCGGCUAACUCCGUGCCAGCAGCCGCGGUAAUACGGAGGAUUCGAGCGUUAUCCGGAUUUAUUGGGUUUAAAGGGAGCGUAGAUGGAUGUUUAAGUCAGUUGUGAAAGUUUGCGGCUCAACCGUAAAAUUGCAGUUGAUACUGGAUAUCUUGAGUGCAGUUGAGGCAGGCGGAAUUCGUGGUGUAGCGGUGAAAUGC
rnacentral:rRNA from 1 species